UCCUACCUUCAGAUUGGUGUCGAAUGAAUCUGUCAAGCCGACCUCAUUUGAUAAGCUCCUCGAUCUCAUCUCGGAGCUGAAUACACUCCUUCGUGUCGUGGCCGUGGUCACGAUGAUUGAGGUAGAAUUUGUUUGGGUUAAACUUUUUUGGGUGCGAGCGCAUCCUUUUCAGCCUUGGCAGCUGCUCCCUAACCUCCAUCAGCACUUGAGUUAUCGAUGCGUUGAGAGGGGCGUAGCUGUGGAAUCUUUCGGGGGGAGAGCUUCGUCGAACUCUAUGGUCUGGGCUUCUUUGCUU
rnacentral:lncRNA from 1 species